UAGACAUCUACAGCGUUUUAUUAGAAAGUAACAUAUCCGUGACUUAAAACUGUAGGAUAUUAUACUUUUGAGUGAUAACAUCUCUCAGAAUUUAAGUUUGAGCUGCUCACCUUUCUGGGAACAGGGCAUCAGUGUUAUGUGAGAAUACUCUGAACUGUUAUUCAUAUUGACAUAAAUCAACAGUUCUCUGAAGCUUCCAUGCUUAAUAACUUUGGACCUCUUGAUCUAGACCUGUGCACUCCGAUUUAUCUAUCAUCAGUGAGAAAUUUCCAACUACACCAGAAGUAAACAUAAAGUGAAACUUAUCAACCAUCUUUAA